rnacentral:rRNA from 1 species
UACCUAUGUUGCUUCGGCGGGAUCGCCCCGGCGCCCUCGGGCCCGGACCCAGGCGCCCGCCGGAGGACCCAAACUCUUGUCUUCAU